rnacentral:rRNA from 1 species
UACAGAGGCCUCGAGCGUUGUUCGGAAUUACUGGGCGUAAAGGGAAUGUAGGUGGUCUUGUAAGUCAGAUGUGAAAGCCCUGGGCUUAACCUGGGAACUGCAUUUGAUACGGCAAGGCUUGAGUGCAGGAGAGAAGAGCGGAAUUUCUAGUGUAGGAGUGAAAUCCGUAGAUAUUAGAAGGAAUACCGAUGGCGAAGGCAGCUCUUUGGCCUGUAACUGACACUGAGAUUCGAAAGCAUGGGUAGCAAACAGG